rnacentral:lncRNA from 1 species
GAUGUUAUAUAUCCCAAACUUCUACAAAUGAGCUCACACAUAUGUAUAGUGAGCAGAGCAAACAAGUCUUCUGGUCUGCUCUUCCACAAAAGAGCUCACACACAUGUGUAUGCCAAUGCCGUGAGGCGUGAGCAGAGCAAACAAGACAAGAGUAUCCAUUCUUCUCUUGUCUUCCCCUUGUCUUCACACAGGAGGCUAAAAAUAAACCAGGCUAAAUUACAGGGAUGUCCACCAAC